AGAUAGAGUGAGACCAGAGAGAAGAAGUGGCCCAGGAAGUCAUAACCUCCUGUUCCUGACUUGGACUUUCUGUAAGUGUGAUUCCCAACCUGGUUACUCAUCAGAAUCAUACAAGGAACAUUAGAAAAGGUAGGGUUUUAGCCUCAUCUGAGGCCUAUUGAAUCAAAAUCUCCUGAAGAAUAUAAUAUUCAUAUCAUAUAUAUACUAUAUGUAUAUAUAUAUACUAUAUAUAUACUAUAUGUAUAUAUAUAUACUAUAUAUAUACUAUAUGUAUAUAUAUAUACUAUAUAUAUACUAUAUGUGUAUAUAUAUACUAUAUAUAUACUAUAUGUGUAUAUAUAUACUAUAUAUAUACUAUAUGUGUAUAUAUAUACUAUAUAUACUAUAUGUAUAUAUAUACAUAUAUAUGUAUAGAUGUAUAUAUACAUAUAUAUGUAUAUAUAUAUGUGUAUAUAUAUAUAUAUAUACUUUAAGUCUUUAAGUUCUGGGGUACAUGUGCAGAACGUGCAGGUUUGUUACAUAGGUAUGCACGUGCCAUGGUGGUUUGCUGCAGCCAUCAACCCUGUCAUCUACAUUAGUUAUUUCUCCUAAUGUCUUCCCUCCCCCAGCCCCCAACCCGCCGACAGGCUUCAGUGUGUGAUGCCCCUACCCCGUGUCCAUGUAUUCUCAUUGUUCAACUCCCACUUAUGAGUGAGGACAUGUGGUGUUUGGUUUUCUGUUCUUAUGUUAGUUUGCUGAGAAUGACGGUUUCCAGCUUCAUCCAUGUCCCUGCAGAGGGACAUGGCUGCAUAGUAUUCCAAAAGCCCUUCCUCAUUAUUCUGAUGCAGGCACUGGUCUGUAGGGUUUGAAAAGCAUUGCUUAGAGGACAAGGAGGUAGAAGGUGUCCUUAGGAUGAGAUGCUAAUGAGGGAGUGAACCUUAGAAAGGUGGAAAGACUCACACCAGUGGUCCCAUGGUUGGGUGAUGGUUAACAUCACAAAGAGAAGUAAAUUCCAGACCUGCAUCAUAGUACCCUGAGUAGAACUACCUCAACAAUCUAUCUGGUCAGAUACUUAGUACCUAGAUGUGGAGACCAUAUCUCACAGUUCUGUCAGGCAGGAGCAGUCCAAACACUUUGAUUAUCAGCUGUCUCUUGCUCGGGAAAUUACUAGGUACCAACACUGUUAUAUAUGCAGAGGUGUCUGAAAAAUGAAUGCAGAUCAAUUUCCAGUUCCACACAGAGCACAUCUGUAAAAUAUGACCUUUGGAUAAUGGCUGGAGUGUUUACCUGCAGUAUUCGUUUUUGCAUGUGGCUUUCCCUAGAUAUGUCAGGAUACAGCAGGACCAAAACCUAGCCUUUGUCCUAUGUCUGGAGACUUCUUGGAAGCUGGAGCACACAAAUAGCUACAGCAAACUUGAGGAAUGGGCAUGAAUAGACUGGCUUCGGGGAACCUGCCAGCUUGGCCGUGUGGCCAAGGUAAUAGGCAAGCCAAGGCAGAGCUAGAGCUCAGAGCUGGAGGGGAAAUUAAAGCAGCAAAUGUAGAAACAUUAAGCCUGAAGAGGCGACGACGUUGAAUUCUAAAAUGCAGGCCAAAGCUCAGACUGCAAGCUGUCUGGCUGCUCCGGGUGUGCCCAGAAGUCAAAGUCCAGCAGGGGCAAAGGUGGAGGUGUGGUCCUGCACGUGGGGUGUUGGGGGGAUGUGGAAGAGGAGGUGCUUUAAGAUCCAGAGAUUCCAGCUGCCCUGGUGCACCCUUGGAAGAAUAAAAGGCUAGGAACUGGACAAGUCAGGCUCGAGUCCAAGCUGCCUGAGGAAUCGGGGAAAGAAUGGAGCUCAGAGUGGGAGGUCAGGGCAGUAUUUAAAAAUCCAGGAUAGCAGCAAAGCUGGCGGUGGCCCCUGACUCUGGUAAGGGCAGCCUGCAGCACCAUGCCAAGGGGGGCCUGACUGAUCAUGCCCUGCAUUUGCAAACAAGGAUUAGUAGGGUAUGAGUAGGAUUCUGCUGGUGCCUGGGAAGGCAGUGCCAUCUACAACUUUACAAAGUUUUAACAAAGGCCUGAAGGACACAACCUUCCCCAAAGUCCUGACGUCGCUGUUUGCUGGCAACAAAUAGAGUCAAAAGAAGAGAGGCACAGAAUGUGCCAGGGGUGUGCUGCGUACAGCCCCGAUGACCACAAGGCCUUCUUGGGUCAAGUUCUGCCAUCUCUGGUUAAGAUGGGCUCACCCUCUAGGACCCUGAUUGAGUCCUCGGACCACCAAGAGUGCCCCACCAAGAGCCUCCCUCUUCUGGUGACUCGUGCCUGCUUCCCGUGGAGAGCUCCAGAAGGGAGGAAACUGUGAGGAGGUGGAGAACGUGGCAGGGAUCCUAACUUUCUUACUGAAGGAAGUUCUUCACAAGUACCCAUCUGCCUUCAGGGAAGAAAACAUAACUCAUUUUGGUCUUUCAAAUUCAGUUCUCAAAACCAAAUCCUGUUGUCAGCAAUCUGUGUCCCAACGCCUUCUUCAGCAACAGCAUUUUCCCUGUGGAAUUAGUUUCCAAUGUUCUUUCUUAAAUAAACCACUGAAGAUUAAAAGGAAUCCAGAUACCCACCA
rnacentral:lncRNA from 1 species